rnacentral:rRNA from 1 species
CACGUAGGCGGACAUUUAAGUCAGGGGUGAAAUCCCGGGGCUCAACCCCGGAACUGCCUUUGAUACUGGGUGUCUCGAGUCCGGAAGAGGUGAGUGGAAUUCCGAGUGUAGAGGUGAAAUUCGUAGAUAUUCGGAGGAACACCAGUGGCGAAGGCGGCUCACUGGUCCGGUACUGACGCUGAGGUGCGAAAGCGUGGGGGAGAAAC